AUCUUCUCUAAUAUCCUUGUCAUAAUUAGUUACACUUGUUAUAUUUAUUAAUUAGGUUGCUGUUAGUGCUUCUUUCCAUCGAGUUUGGUGUAUUUGACUCCUGGCACAGGGUUUGCCCAAAUGCUUGUGGAUUUGUCUUUUCCUUUGAAAUCCUUGUCCACUGGGCUCUUGUGUUUCUAGGAGUCAGUCAUGGUCCAUUGGGCUCUUGUGUUUCUAGGAGUCAGUCAUGGUCUGUUGGGGUCUUCUGUUUCUAGGAGUCAGUCGUGGGUAGCAACUGCAGGUGAGGCGCUAUUUGAGGGCUCUCAGGAUGGAUGAGUUCUUUCUCGGAUGCUAGCAGCUCCCUGGGCACGCUCCUCAUUCUCUUGCUCAGGAAAUCUCACUUCCUGCCUUCUCAGGGGCAAAUGCUCUUCCCGACCACUGCUCCGUAAAGGGGAAGAAGAUGUAGGGGCCAGAGGGGUCCAGGUGCUUCUGUUGUGGUUACCAUGUUAACUACCCACCACAACUAUCCCAGAGCAGUUUUUAUCUGUGGAGCCUUAACUCGGAGCUCCUCAAAACCCAUGUCUAGUCAAUAGCAUUUUCUCAUAAUUGUCUUUCAGAUUUCUUCCAGGCUGUUUUCCCCCAUAUUCUUUCUUUGUUGGCUUAAUACACUUUCUUUCUUUUAGGAAUUCUGCAGGCCUCCUGCUGUGGAUUGAAUAUUUCUGUCCCUCCACAAUUCUUAUAUGGGCCCCCUAGUCCCCAUUGUGAUGGUAUUUGGAGACAGGGCCUUUGGGUGCAGAUGUUAUGAGGCCAGAGACCUCAUGGUGGGAUUAGUGUUCUUAUGAGAAGACCAUGAGAGCAGGCUUCCUCUCUGCUCCCCCUGCCACGUGGGACACAAUGAGGAGACAGCACGUCUCACGCGGAUGCAGCCUUCACCAGGCACUGCAUCUGCCAGCGAUUUGGUCCUCUCAGCCUACAGAACUUUGAGAAAUAAAUGUGUGUUGUUUAAGCCACCCAGUCUGUGGUAUUUUUCGUUAUAGCAUCCCAAACUGAUUUAGAGACCUUCUUAUACUCUUUCUUGAAUUUUUUUUUCCUUUUUUAAAAAAUUCUAUUAUUUCAUGAGAGGUAGGAUAGAAGUGAUUUGCUCACUCUGAUUGUUGGCUGGUUUGUUUCUCUCCUGAAUUUUCAGCAGUAAACACAGGGCACACCACUGGGCUACAUUGUUCCUGAGGGAACUGGCUCACAGCAAAGUGGGGUGGACACAAAGGUUGUCGCAUCUCCCCGAGGUUUCCAGUUCUGUGCGUUCUCCCACUCUGGAAGACUCAAGAAUCUUAAAAAUCAUUUAUGUGCAAUUCUAAAAGAUGAAGUAGUUAUUUCCUGGGGGAGUCUACAUUUUUGAAAGAAUCUAAGUCACGUCUUAAAGCGUUGCACGUACUUACAAGCAAUCUGGGAAAGUUACAGGCAAAGGUAAAGGGCCGGGAGGUCACAGGCAAAGGUAAAGGGCCUGGAGGUCACGCACAUUCCCGCCAGUAGGCCACGUACACUGCCGCCACGCGGUCACGCACACUGCCGCGGGAGUUCACGCACACUGACGUGGGAGGUCACGCACACUGCCGCCGGGAGGUCACGCACACUAACGUGGGAGGUCACGCACACUGCCGCGGGAGUUCACGCACACUGACGUGGGAGGUCACGCACACUGCCGCGGGAGGUCGCGCCCACUGCCGCCGGGAGGUCGCGCCCACUGCUGCCGGGAGGUCGCGCCCACUGCCGCCGGGAGGCCGCGCACACUGCCGCUGUUGUGUGGGUUUGUGUUGAAGGCCCACCCUCUUCCCGGAUCAACAGGGUCCAAGAGCAGGAAAGUGGAAUUGAAUACCUGGACUAAGACCAAAGAAUGCCGCAGUGCGAGUUGGGGGGGAUAAAUUCCAGGUUUUGAGCUGUUGCUCUAGUCGGUCUGCGCCUGCAGAUGGCAGCGCUCCUUCAUCGUUGCAGCGAUGUGGAUUGAAAUGCACUGGAGCGUCAAUGGAAGGUGAAUUUAUGAAGUGAAAUCAAACUUCAGAAAUCUAUUUUCAGUUGAUUCCACUGGACGCAACUCAAGCAACAGUGUUAAAUGACGAUGGGGAAUACACGUGGGGCAGAGGGACCGGGUGCCUCGUGACAGCGCCCCACUCAGGCCCCAGCUGGAACUGAGCGCAGCCCCCAUCCGGGGAACGGGGACAGUCUCCCCCUGGUGGAGCCGCUGAGGUGUGUCCGCCAGCGACGGCGGAAUCGCUCACUGCGCACCGUCCUGACUCCUCAAUACAAAUACGGGUGUCAGUGACAUGAAAUUUGUCACUGCAGAUAUCCAGAGAGCUGAAAUAAAGGAGUUGCUGGAGUGCUGAAAUGCAGAACCUAGAGCAAUACUGAAGUAUGGACUGGGUCUGAGCUGCUGUACAGCUGUUGAAGGCAGUCUGAGGCACCCUGGAGAGAGACCUGGGCUUUCAGUACCCUUCUCAGGCCCCCAGCCCUCCUAGAGCAUUCCUCAGCGAGAUCUGUCAGCUUGCCAUGCACAGGUUUUGCCUUGUCCCAGAUCCUAGACCAGUGCUAAGUGGCAGCAGCAAGCCCUUACGCACAUUCCUAUUGAGGACAUUCCUUAUUGUAUUUCCUUGCGGACGUCAUAGUGUUACUGGGGGGUCCUUGUUCUUAGAGCUCCCAAGAUGGUGGCUGCUUCCAAGAUGGUGGCAAGCCUCGUGUUCUCUGACCUGGGGUUCUUGGCCUCAUGGAUUCCAAGGAAUGGAACCUUGGGCCAUGCGGGGAGUGUUAUAGCUCUAUUAGAAGCCCUGGGUCACGGAAGAGGACCGUGGAACCUAUGACUAGUGUUCAGCUCAAUUAGGACAAACCCUGGCACUUAGCCAUGCAGGAACAAUGGCAAGCCUUUAUCCUGAUCCAGAGUGGCAACAGGCGCCUUGCUGGAUCAGAAACGCAGUGGACACCCUGCCAGAUCCGGAGGGGAGAAGUCAAGGGAGGGUCUGGGACGACAGACAACAGCGGUGGUGGACGGCAAGCGAAAGCUCAGUUUGAGCCAUCACAAACACAGACCAGAAGAGUGCGCAGUUGCAAGAUUUAACAGGGUGAAAACAGAGCUCCCAUACAAUGGUAGGGGACCCAAAGGGGGCUGCUGUUGCCGGCUCAAAUGCCUGGGUUUAUAUCCCGAUCAUUGUCCCUCCCCCUGUGCUCUCAGGCAAUAGAUGAUUCGCUAUUUCUUUACCUUCUGUUUUUGCCUAAUUAGCAUUUUAGCGAGCUGUCUUUACUACCUGAUUGGUUGGGUGUGAGCUAAGUUGCAAGCUCCCUGUUUAAAGGUGGAUGCAGUCACCUUCCCAGCUAGGCUUAGGGAUUCUUAGUCGGCCUAGGAAAUCCAGCUGGUCCUGUCUCUCAAUAGUGCCCCAGCUCCUACUAUUGGGUGUCUUUGUGGUGGCUUCAAUGGCUUAUUUCAAAACUUACCUGGACCUGGUGGUCCCAGAGAAAGCUUCUAGAAUUCAAUGUGCUUCCGCAAGUGGGAGCCACUUUCUCAUCUUGACUCAGCGGUUCCAUUCUGAUUCUUAACCUCCAAUGCCAACUAUCUUCAGCAUAUUGCAAACUUCAGCAAACGAACAAAGCCAAGACUACUAACCUGUCAGGAAUCUUUCUGCAAAUCCGAAAAAAGCUCUGGGAGGGCAGAGGGCAGUGUCUUGUGCACUUAGAGAAUGCCUUCAUGUAUAUAUCUGUAUUAUGCAGUUUUCUUAAGGGUGUCUUUUUCUCUGGAAAGAUCUAACCCCGUCCCAGGCUACAUGACUCGGAAGGCAGAGAAGUGUUGGAUUUCAGCCCCACUCACCCCUCAGCUAGGUGCCUAUGUGCGUUAGACCACCUAUUUGACUAUACAAAUGGCUUAUGCCCAUUUAAAAAAUUAUUUUUCUAGAAGGCUUUCUAGUCCAGAAAUUGCUCUAACACAAUAACAAUAAAUAACACAAAUAAUUGCUCUAACACAAUAAACAAUAAAUAACAAUAAAUUGCUCUUUAUGCUUACCUGAAUCUUGGCUUAGCACGGAAGGAUCCAGGAUUUAUAGGCAGGCCUUCCAGAUGUCAACAACUCCUGAAGUAUGAAAUUUUGACAUGAUCGAGAUUUAGCAACGUGUUUCUAUUGGCCUGAGGUCAUUUGUACCAUUGUUUUCACACAGGCAUCCCUAUUAUAACCAAACCCAAUGCCUAGACAGUGCCUGGCCUAUAAGAGAGAGACAAUAAAAAAGUUGUGGGCUCAGUUAACAAGCCAUUGCAUCACCCACCAUCAAUGCCCUCCUGCUGACCAAGAACCAGACCAAGAACCAUGUUGACCACGUCUUGCUACCAGGAAAAUCACACUAUUUGUCCAACAAAUCCUAAGAUAUAAUAAUAAAGAUGAAAAGUUACAUUAAAAAGUAUUACUAAAAUUAGGAUAUCAAUCUGCAUGUACUUAAAUACGUGAAAAGAGGUAAUAUAAUGUGUAUGAAAAGAGGUAAUAUAAUGUGUAUGAAAAAAAUGUUCUACUGAAUGAUUUUGGAAGCAGUUGAUAAAUUAUUUUACCAGAAAGAGUAAGAAUGGCAUAAUCAUCUGUAGAUACCACAGUACAUAUAAUUCUUUAUGAGAUGGUUAAUAACAGUGGAGUUGAUCUUGGGAAAACAUGCACGAAUUGUGUGUAGCUUGCCAGCCGUUUUUCCCUCAAACCUUUAUACUUGUGGCUUGUUUAACAUCUUAUAAUCCCUUGUGAUUACGUUGUUAAAUCAAUUUUUUCAUGUUUCUUUUGUGGCCAUCUUUUAUAAUUUUUAUUUUUAUACAGCCAGUGGGUCCCUGUUGUGAGGACGGCAUGGGAGAGAUGACUUCCUUCCAGCCUAAGGGAUUGGGCACCGAAGACAGCACAGACAAGCAUCCUUGGUCAUUGCAUGGAAUAGAACAUUUCAACAGCUCAAACACACUGGCAAUACACGUGCUUGCUAACAACUACAUGGCCAAAGAAAACACUCAAAUAAACCUGCGAGUUUGUUCUUGCUUGGGGAGCAGGAGAAGUUAAUGCCAUGAGGCCAUUCUAAAGUGGACCAGGUGAGGAUCAAUAUGGAUCUAUGAACUUAAAAAAAAAAGGGAGAGAGAUGUGGAGUUAAAACAACAACAAAAACAUCACUCUUCAGUGGCUGCCACAACUCCUGCUUCUGCUUUCCCAUUCGCUGCCAAGGACAGGCAACCUCAGCGAUGUACCGAGUGAGACGCUGGGCAGGCGUGAAAGGUACAGUGGGAACGCUGGGACCGAUGGUGUGGGGAAGGACAGGAAUGAACCGUGCCUCCAAUGAAGAGAGCACCGUCGCACGCCUGCCCCUUUGCAGUGUGACGUUGCUGUUGUGACAUUGCUGUUCCUAUAACCAGCAGGUGAGGUGUGUUCUUCAGCUCCUUGAAACCAGGCAGACCUUUUGAUAUGCUGAGACCAGUAGCAUGUGGUGGAAGGGCCAUGUGGAGAAGAGUCAGGUGCCUCAAACAACAGACAGCACAGACUGCCAGAGGAGCGAGUGAAGCCAGCCCGGACGCUCUACUUACUGCAAGCCAUCAGGUCACUGCAGCUGCAUGUGUGAACCCAAGUUAGACCAGCAGGACUGCCUGGAUUGCCAGUGCGUAAAAUUAUGCAAAAGAACCAAUGAUUGCUGUUUUAUGCCACGAUUUUGGAGGACCUUGUAACAAGAACAAUAAAUAACUGACACAGGUGUUCAAGGCUGCAGUGAGCUAUAACUGCACCACCGCAGUCCAACCUGGGUGACAGAGCAAGGGAGCCUGUCUCAAAAAAAUAAAAUAAAUUACUGACAUAUGCUUAUUAUUUUUAAAAUAAUUUUCUUUUGACUUAAUUCUUCAGUUCAGCUUGCUUAUAUGGAUAAUAUCAAAAUGAAUCACUUUAAUUUUCUACUAUGGAUUAUAGUUAAGAGCUUGUCAAAAAUAGACCAGAUACCUCUACAACAGCAGCAUUUAUUCAGGUCAUGGUACCUGCAUGGGCAACUGAGAUCCAUCGUCUGGUCCCAGGUUUUGUAUGUCAGGUUACAGGACGGAUUCACAACAUUCAAUCUCACAAAACAUUAACGUUCUAUUUAGAAUGGUCCAUUUCUUAAAAAUUAAAGUAAUGCUGCAACGUAGGCAAGAUUUUUCAUCUCUUCAGCAGAAAACCCUGACCUAUGUUGGUAACCUAAAUGAAAAGUGAAAAUAUUUCGAGAUAUAAAUGAUAAUUUGGAUGCUAUUAUACUAUCACAGGAUCCUGAUGCCCCUUAUCAGUGAUAAACAAUGGAACCUGAUAGUGCAUCCCAGCAGAUAGGACCUCUUCCACACUGCACAGUGUUAGAGAUGCAACGAGAGGCUCCAGGCCAGGUGCAGUGGCUCAAACCUGUAAUCUCAGCAGUUUGGGAGGCUGAGGUGGGUGGAUUGCUUUAGGCCAGGAGCUUGAGAUGGGCGUGGCCAACAUAGUGAAACCCCGUCUCUACUAAAAAUACAAAACUUGGCCCAGUGUAGUGGCACGCGCCUGUAGUCCCAGUGACUCAGGAAGCUGAGGCACAAGAAUCGCUUGAACCCAGGAGGCAGAAUCUAUAGUGAGCCGUGAUCAUGCCACUGCACUCCAGCCUGGGCAACAGAAUGAGACUCCAUUUCAAAAAAAAAAAAAAAAAUAGACUCUAGUGCUGGUAUUCUAAUUUCUAAGACUCCAUAUGGAAAUAUGGAAAUACCUGUUGAGAGACACCAGCAUUAUAUCACGCUGACAUCAUUGCAUUGUGAUCCGUUUUUCCUGGCUCUGCACUCUUGAUGGAGACUUGAGAAAACUCGCUGGCAGCACAUUUCUCAACAUUCAUAUUUUUGCUUAGGUUAGUACUUUACCAAUCUUAUCCCCAAAUUGUGGCAGAUCACUCUGUCCCUACUAUGUCUCCAGGAAAGCAGCAGAAAUCUCUCAGCCAUUUUUAUAUCUUUGGCACAUCUUCAAAGUUGAUAUAAUUAUUUGCAUUCUUUCUGAUUACGUGAAAACCGAGGCCUUAUUUGUUAUAUUAAGAGUUCAAGUUCCUUAAUAGUAAUACUUUGGCUCAUUGUUUUCUUAUGAAAAUAUAGCUAUAACAUCAUUUUAAAAGAGAUGGGACUUAGAAAGAUUCCGCUCUACUGAUUUUACAGCUGUUUGGUGCAAUACAUAAUUACUGGGUAGCUUUACUCCAGUGGGAAAAUGAUGCUCCAGAUACUGCAUUAAGCAUUUUUCCUCACAAUGAAUGCCUAGUUUACUUUUGCACAUUCUCAAAUUUAUAUACUUCUCCCUCUUCUAUUCCCAUCAAUAAGGCCUUUCCAGCAACUCUCCUCCUACUCCCUUUACCAAAACAAACACAAAUAAAUAAAAUAAUCAGUCAAAAGGAGGCAGGCAUGAGGGUACUUUGUCAGUAUUGUUAUCACCUGGAGUAUUAGUAAACUGCCUCAGUGGUGUGCGAGAUUUCUUUCAAACCUUUGUAUUUUUAAGUGGGACAUGUAAUUAUAUCACGAAAAUGAGAACGGAAACAAAAUUAAAGUUUUAUGCUAUCAUUAUUAAUCAUUCUAGUCAUAAUAUUUAAUUUUCUGUCCCCUAUGACAUGUAUAAUAACUAAGGAAAUAUGCCCCAUUUAAAGGAUUGAAGCCAGUAUCCUCCAUCAUUUGAGGGGAAUUUCCAGCCAAAAUGUUUGAUUGGCACUCAUGAGGACAGGUGCGACCCUGCACCUGGGUCACUAGUUAAUUCCUCUGGAUACUUGUUUGGGUCAAAAUGAGCUCAAGUGAGUAACAGGCACAAAGCCUUCGCUUUCUGUCUCGACCCAACAAGGACCUGUACAGAAGAUGAGUUUUCUCAUCAGCCCAUUCCCAAGUAUCCCACAUAUUCAAUGAGCCAGCAGGUCAUCUCCUGUUCAGCAGUUGAAAAUCACCUCCGAUUCAGCUGACACACAGGAAGUCCAUCAAUGUCCAUUAGCCCAGAACAAGCGUGUCGGUCACAGCAGCUGUCAGUCUAGGCCAAAGAGGUCCUGUCAGGGCCAUUGUUAUUUUUGUCCUGAAGUUAGGUAUGAAAGUUAUGGUCAUGGCAGGUUUUAAUUAUUUGUGUCAACAAAGACAAUGGACAGUCACCCAAACUCAAUAACUCUGUAUUUUAAAAGCUGUAAAGAAAAGCACAUGUGAUAAGCUUAUCAAUAUUUCUGAUAUAUUAUUCAGGUACUUUGGUCCUUGUGUGUCUCUGAUUAGGUGUCGGCUUUUAGAUUAGAUGGAUUGGAUUGAUUAUGGCUUUUGAAAAUUGUUAUUUAUAUUUAGAUAUCUCUAUAUUGGACACGUAGUUGUUUGGAGAAAUGAGUCUAAUACCCAUGUUGAAAGCAGAAACGGGAUAUAACGUUUUUGUUCUGUUUCUAUGAUCUUUUUAUGAACAAGAAUGUUACGCCAACUCUAUUUUUUUGGAGAUAAAUGGGUAUAUGAAAAUAACACCUUCAGCACGUAUUGCCUAACACUCAUUUGUAAUUAUCACGUAUAAUGCCUGGUUGAUUACGGUUUUAACGUCUUUGCAUAUUGUAAGCCCCCAAUGAUGCUGUGACCUACUUGGAUGCAGAGCCUCUUUCACUGUGUCAUUAUGCCUCCAAUAAUACAACUAACAUGAAUAGUAAAGAGCAAUAAAUAGAUAGCUCCCAUCCAUUGAGCUCUUAGUUGCUCGUGGCUUAAUGCUAAACACUUCCCAUAUGUAUCUUAACCCUGAAAAUCAUUCCAUGAGGCAGCAAUUAUUUGUGUCUUUACAGACAAUGGAACAGAAGUGUAUGUAAUUACUAACUUGCUUAUGCUUAUAUUUUGCUAAAAGAAAAGGUUCUCUCCCCCUUUUAGGUGCAUUUGCAAGGCAGCUCUUCGGAACAAGGCACAGGCGUUCUAUUUUUUUAUUAUUAGUAGCAGCAGCAACUGCUGCAACAGCAGUAGCCUUAGUAGCAGUUUGCUGUUUAUAAUCUCCUUUCUCAAUUGGAUUGUUUGCAUCUUGAGGUCCUCUUGCUCAUAUUUGUAUUCUUAACAUCCAUGAGCCACCUCUCAGGUACCACUAAUACAAUGUCGAGGAAUAAAUGGGGAGAAUUGUUAUGAUCUUGAGCCUCGCUCCUAGAGGAUCACUUCUCUGUAAGAGGGAUGUGUAAUUCAGGACUCCCCAGAUGGGAAACCAGUAUGUGUGGAAAUAUUAUAAAGAGGUUUCACUGUAGCGUACGUUGUAAUAAUUUACAACAUUUGUUCAAAUGCAUAUCCUACAUGGUACAGCAAUUACACAGGUAAUAAAUCUUGUAUCUGAAAACACAGAACACAUGAUACCCAGCCUUUUCAUGCACACUUGAUUUCUCCUGAUUUAUUAAUAACUUUCUCGUGUUUAAGUGACUGUCCUUAUUACGCAUUGCUUUGUUUCUCACUGUGGCAUGACCUUAGCUCGACAGUUGCUAAAAUUCUCCCAGGAGACUUUUUAAUGCUACAUUUGCUUAGAAGACAUGUUCUGCCUUGUGGCUAAUGAUAUAGUUGCGUGGUAAGAAAGAAGGAUGAAAGCAGAAACACACAGACAGGACAUUGAGAAGCGGAUUAACAACAAAUACAAAGGAGGGAAACGAAAACCAAUUCAUUCUCUUUUUUUGCACAUAGUUUUAAGCAUAUCAUGACAUUUCGAAAGUAGGAAACAUCCCUACAAAGCUGGAUCAAACACGAUACUAACCCCAACACCACAGUUCUUCAAGUGGCAGGUGGUAAACUAUAACACACCAUUAACACUUUGUAAAAUGUUACUUAAAAUACAAAUGAUAAAGGGACCAAAGGCCCUGGCGUUCUCAGUUUAACUGACUUGUUUACCUUUAUAGUUUAGUCACAUGAUAUUGUUUUUACCAAUGAAUGUAAGUUCUCAUCUUCAUUUCACGCUCAAUCUGU
rnacentral:lncRNA from 10 species